rnacentral:rRNA from 1 species
CUAAUACCACAUGAUAUCAUAACAAGGCAUCUUGAAAUGAUNCAAGGAGAAAUCCGGUGCAAGAUGGGACUGCGUACGAUUAGUUAGAUGGUGAGGUAACGGCUCACCAAGGCGACGAUCGGUAGCCGAACUGAGAGGUUGAUCGGCCACAUUGGGACUGAGACACGGCCCAGACUCCUACGGGAGGCAGCAGUGGGGAAUAUUGCGCAAUGGGGGGAACCCUGACGCAGCAACGCCGCGUGAAGGAAGAAGGCCUUCGGGUUGUAAACUUAUUUGAUUGGGGAAGAAAAAAAUGACGGUACCCAAGGAACAAGCCACGGCUAACUACGUGCCAGCAGCCGCGGUAAUACGUAGGUGGCGAGCGUUGUCCGGAAUUACUGGGUGUAAAGGGCGUGUACGCGGGAUUGUACGUCAGAUGUGAAAUUCCCGGGCUUAACUCUGGAGGUGCAUCUGAAACUAUAAUUCUUGACGUGCUGGAGAGGAAAGCGGACUUCCUAGUGUAGCGAGGAAAUGCGUAGAUAUAGGGAAGAACACCAGUGGCGAAAGCGGCUUUCUGGACAGUAACUGACGCUGAGGCGCGAAAGCGUGGGGAGCAAACAGAUUUAGAUACCCUGNUAGUCCACGCUGUAACGAUGGGAUACUAGGUGUAGGAGGUAUCGACCCCUUCUGUGCCGGAGUUAACACAAUAAGUAUCCCACCUGGCGAGUACGUCCGCAAGGCUGAAUCUCAAAGGAAUUGACGGGUGCCCGCACAAGCAGUGGAGUAUGUGGUUUAAUUCGAAGCUACGCGAAGAACCUUACCAGGGCUUGACAUCCCUCGGAUUACAUAGAGAUAUGUUAGUCCUUCGGGACGAGGAGACACGUGGUGCAUGGUUGUCGUCAGCUCGUGUCGUGAGAUGUUGGGUUA